AACUUUUAGCGAUGGAUGUCUAGGCUCUUGCUACGAUGAAGAAUGCAGCGACAUGCAAUACGCGGUGUGACCUGCAGCUCUUAGAGAAACACACGAUUUUUGAACGCAAACGGCGCUUUUUGGGCUACGCCUAAAAAGCAUCUCUAAUUCAGUGCCC